GACGAACGCUGGCGGCGUGCUUAACACAUGCAAGUCGAACGGAAAGGCCCUGCUUUUGUGGGGUGCUCGAGUGGCGAACGGGUGAGUAACACGUGAGUAACCUGCCCUUGACUUUGGGAUAACUUCAGGAAACUGGGGCUAAUACCGGAUAGGAGCUCCUGCUGCAUGGUGUGGGUUGGAAAGUUUCGGCGGUUGGGGAUGGACUCGCGGCUUAUCCGCUUGUUGGUGGGGUAGUGGCUUACCAAGGCUUUGACGGGUAGCCGGCCUGAGAGGGUGACCGGCGACAUUGGGACUGAGAUACGGCCCAGAAUCCUACGGGAGGCAGCAGUGGGGAAUAUUGCACAAUGGGCGGAAGCCUGAUGCAGCAACGCCGCGUGCGGGAUGACGGCCUUCGGGGUGUAAACCGCUUUCGACUGUGACGAAGCGUGAGUGACGGUAAUGGGUAAAGAAGCACCGGCUAACUACGUG
rnacentral:rRNA from 1 species